rnacentral:rRNA from 1 species
CAAGGAAUUUUCCACAAUGGGCGCAAGCCUGAUGGAGCAACGCCGCGUGGGGGAGGAAGCCCUUCGGGGUGUAAACCCCUUUUCUGGGGGACGAAGCUAAUGACGGUACCCCAGGAAGAAGGACCGGCUAACUACGUGCCAGCAGCCGCGGUAAGACGUAGGGUCCGAGCGUUGUCCGGAGUUACUGGGCGUAAAGGGCGCGCAGGCGGUUAGUCGCGUCGGAUGUGAAAGCCCCCCGCUCAACGGGGGAGGGUCAUUCGAAACGGACUGACUGGUGGCAGGGAGAGGUCGGUGGAAUUCCCGGUGUAGUGGUGAAAUGCGUAGAGAUCGGGAGGAACACCAGUGGCGAAGGCGGCCGACUGGACCUGACCUGACGCUGAGGCGCGAAGGCGUGGGGAGCGAACGGGAUUAGAUACCCCUGUAGUCC